GACGAACGCUGGCGGCGUGCCUAAUACAUGCAAGUCGAACGCAGUGGGGACGGGUGAUUAACACGUGGGUAACCUCCCGUCAGAGGGGAGAACACUUGGAAACAGGUGCUAAACCGAUACUGAUGGAUGGACCCGCGGGGCAUUAGCUAGUUGGAGAGGUAACGGCUCACCAAGGCCACGAUGCAUAGCGGACCUGAGAGGGUGAGCGGACACACUGGGACUGAGACACGGCCCAGACUCCUACGGGAAGCAGCAGUAGGGAAUCUUCGGCAAUGGGCGAAAGUCUGACCGAGCAACGCCGCGGGAGUAAAGAAGGUUUUCGGAUCGUAAAACGCUGUUGUUAGAGAAGCGGUAUCUAAACAGAAAGCAACGGCUAACUACGUGCCAGCAGCCGCGGUAAUAC
rnacentral:rRNA from 1 species